CUAUUAUACAGUAGGUCUGCUCACUUAUAAAGUCUACAGUGAUGUAAGUCUGCCCACAGUCUAUUAUACAGUAGGUCUGCUCACCUAUAAAGUCUACAGUGAUGUAAGUCUGCCCACAGUCUAUUAUACAGUAGGUCUGCUCACCUAUAAAGUCUACAGUGAUGUAAGUCUGCCCACAGUCUAUUAUACAGUAGGUCUGCUCACCUAUAAAGUCUACAGUGAUGUAAGUCUGCCCACAGUCUAUUAUACAGUAGGUCUGCUCACUUAUAAAGUCUACAGUAAUGUAAGUCUGGCCACAGUCUAUUAUACAGUAGGUCUGCUCACUUAUAAAGUCUACAGU